AAUAAACCAAUUUUUCACUUUUUACCUAUAAUUUUUAUCUCUUCGUUUUAUUUAAAUUUUUUUUUGAUUGAUAUUUUUGUUUUUGUUAGAUGAUAAAUCAUUAAUAGUACUUUACGUAGGACUAAUUUUUUUUCUAAUUUCUUGAAAAAUUUUUAAAUAAGACGGAUGGUCAAACGUUGGACACGAAAAUCAGAG
rnacentral:pre_miRNA from 1 species